AGCGUACACGGUGGAUGCCCUGGCAGUCAGAGGCGAUGAAGGACGUGCUAAUCUGCGAUAAGCGUCGGUAAGGUGAUAUGAACCGUUAUAACCGGCGAUUUCCGAAUGGGGAAACCCAGUGUGAUUCGUCACACUAUCAUUAACUGAAUCCAUAGGUUAAUGAGGCGAACCGGGGGAACUGAAACAUCUAAGUACCCCGAGGAAAAGAAAUCAACCGAGAUUCCCCCAGUAGCGGCGAGCGAACGGGGAGCAGCCCAGAGCCUGAAUCAGUGUGUGUGUUAGUGGAAGCGUCUGGAAAGGCGCGCGAUACAGGGUGACAGCCCCGUACACAAAAAUGCACAUGCUGUGAGCUCGAUGAGUAGGGCGGGACACGUGGUAUCCUGUCUGAAUAUGGGGGGACCAUCCUCCAAGGCUAAAUACUCCUGACUGACCGAUAGUGAACCAGUACCGUGAGGGAAAGGCGAAAAGAACCCCGGCGAGGGGAGUGAAAAAGAACCUGAAACCGUGUACGUACAAGCAGUGGGAGCACGCUUAGGCGUGUGACUGCGUACCUUUUGUAUAAUGGGUCAGCGACUUAUAUUCUGUAGCAAGGUUAACCGAAUAGGGGAGCCGAAGGGAAACCGAGUCUUAACUGGGCGUUAAGUUGCAGGGUAUAGACCCGAAACCCGGUGAUCUAGCCAUGGGCAGGUUGAAGGUUGGGUAACACUAACUGGAGGACCGAACCGACUAAUGUUGAAAAAUUAGCGGAUGACUUGUGGCUGGGGGUGAAAGGCCAAUCAAACCGGGAGAUAGCUGGUUCUCCCCGAAAGCUAUUUAGGUAGCGCCUCGUGAAUUCAUCUCCGGGGGUAGAGCACUGUUUCGGCAAGGGGGUCAUCCCGACUUACCAACCCGAUGCAAACUACGAAUACCGGAGAAUGUUAUCACGGGAGACACACGGCGGGUGCUAACGUCCGUCGUGAAGAGGGAAACAACCCAGACCGCCAGCUAAGGUCCCAAAGUCAUGGUUAAGUGGGAAACGAUGUGGGAAGGCCCAGACAGCCAGGAUGUUGGCUUAGAAGCAGCCAUCAUUUAAAGAAAGCGUAAUAGCUCACUGGUCGAGUCGGCCUGCGCGGAAGAUGUAACGGGGCUAAACCAUGCACCGAAGCUGCGGCAGCGACGCUUAUGCGUUGUUGGGUAGGGGAGCGUUCUGUAAGCCUGCGAAGGUGUGCUGUGAGGCAUGCUGGAGGUAUCAGAAGUGCGAAUGCUGACAUAAGUAACGAUAAAGCGGGUGAAAAGCCCGCUCGCCGGAAGACCAAGGGUUCCUGUCCAACGUUAAUCGGGGCAGGGUGAGUCGACCCCUAAGGCGAGGCCGAAAGGCGUAGUCGAUGGGAAACAGGUUAAUAUUCCUGUACUUGGUGUUACUGCGAAGGGGGGACGGAGAAGGCUAUGUUGGCCGGGCGACGGUUGUCCCGGUUUAAGCGUGUAGGCUGGUUUUCCAGGCAAAUCCGGAAAAUCAAGGCUGAGGCGUGAUGACGAGGCACUACGGUGCUGAAGCAACAAAUGCCCUGCUUCCAGGAAAAGCCUCUAAGCAUCAGGUAACAUCAAAUCGUACCCCAAACCGACACAGGUGGUCAGGUAGAGAAUACCAAGGCGCUUGAGAGAACUCGGGUGAAGGAACUAGGCAAAAUGGUGCCGUAACUUCGGGAGAAGGCACGCUGAUAUGUAGGUGAAGUCCCUCGCGGAUGGAGCUGAAAUCAGUCGAAGAUACCAGCUGGCUGCAACUGUUUAUUAAAAACACAGCACUGUGCAAACACGAAAGUGGACGUAUACGGUGUGACGCCUGCCCGGUGCCGGAAGGUUAAUUGAUGGGGUUAGCGCAAGCGAAGCUCUUGAUCGAAGCCCCGGUAAACGGCGGCCGUAACUAUAACGGUCCUAAGGUAGCGAAAUUCCUUGUCGGGUAAGUUCCGACCUGCACGAAUGGCGUAAUGAUGGCCAGGCUGUCUCCACCCGAGACUCAGUGAAAUUGAACUCGCUGUGAAGAUGCAGUGUACCCGCGGCAAGACGGAAAGACCCCGUGAACCUUUACUAUAGCUUGACACUGAACAUUGAGCCUUGAUGUGUAGGAUAGGUGGGAGGCUUUGAAGUGUGGACGCCAGUCUGCAUGGAGCCGACCUUGAAAUACCACCCUUUAAUGUUUGAUGUUCUAACGUUGACCCGUAAUCCGGGUUGCGGACAGUGUCUGGUGGGUAGUUUGACUGGGGCGGUCUCCUCCUAAAGAGUAACGGAGGAGCACGAAGGUUGGCUAAUCCUGGUCGGACAUCAGGAGGUUAGUGCAAUGGCAUAAGCCAGCUUGACUGCGAGCGUGACGGCGCGAGCAGGUGCGAAAGCAGGUCAUAGUGAUCCGGUGGUUCUGAAUGGAAGGGCCAUCGCUCAACGGAUAAAAGGUACUCCGGGGAUAACAGGCUGAUACCGCCCAAGAGUUCAUAUCGACGGCGGUGUUUGGCACCUCGAUGUCGGCUCAUCACAUCCUGGGGCUGAAGUAGGUCCCAAGGGUAUGGCUGUUCGCCAUUUAAAGUGGUACGCGAGCUGGGUUUAGAACGUCGUGAGACAGUUCGGUCCCUAUCUGCCGUGGGCGCUGGAGAACUGAGGGGGGCUGCUCCUAGUACGAGAGGACCGGAGUGGACGCAUCACUGGUGUUCGGGUUGUCAUGCCAAUGGCACUGCCCGGUAGCUAAAUGCGGAAGAGAUAAGUGCUGAAAGCAUCUAAGCACGAAACUUGCCCCGAGAUGAGUUCUCCCUGACUCCUUGA
rnacentral:rRNA from 1 species